AAAAUAAUAAUAAACUAAAAUAACUAGUUUUGAGUUUUAGCUCCUAUCCCUCACCACCACUAGAGUCAUAAAAAAUUGAGAAAUAGCUUAAAAUGACACCCAUUUUAUAAUUUUAAUUAAAAAUACCACUCCUUCCCAAUUUUUGUACAACUAUCACCUAUAAAUAUAAAAUUAUUGUCCACUUAUUGCUGAUUUUUCACAAGUUCAGAAAUUUUGUUCUCUCUUAGCUCACACAGCUCACUCUUUCUCUGUGGCACAGCUCUCUUUC
rnacentral:lncRNA from 1 species